rnacentral:rRNA from 1 species
AGUGAACGCUGGCGGUAGGCCUAACACAUGCAAGUCGAACGGCAGCACAGUAAGAGCUUGCUCUUACGGGUGGCGAGUGGCGGACGGGUGAGGAAUACAUCGGAAUCUACUUUUUCGUGGGGGAUAACGUAGGGAAACUUACGCUAAUACCGCAUACGACCUACGGGUGAAAGCAGGGGAUCUUCGGACCUUGCGCGAUUGAAUGAGCCGAUGUCGGAUUAGCUAGUUGGCGGGGUAAAGGCCCACCAAGGCGACGAUCCGUAGCUGGUCUGAGGGGAUGAUCAGCCACACUGGAACUGAGACACGGUCCAGACUCCUACGGGAGGCAGCAGUGGGGAAUAUUGGACAAUGGGCGCAAGCCUGAUCCAGCCAUACCGCGUGGGUGAAGAAGGCCUUCGGGUUGUAAAGCCCUUUUGUUGGGAAAGAAAAGCAGCAGGUUAAUACCCCGCUGUUCUGACGGUACCCAAAGAAUAAGCACCGGCUAAUUUCGUG